GUUUUUCGCUUCUCGUAGUGUCCCGGCGGAGUCUCCUCUGCGGCUUGUGAACGUCACCGCCCCCAUCCCUAACGUUACCCCACUUCUUCAGGUUUCUGCGGGUCAGAAUUUGUCGCCAGCCCCUACACAGGCUGCUCUGCUCGGGGUUUUCUUCCGACAGCUCCGCUCCCUGAGUAAUAUCCUUAAUAGUUCCCUUCACUGAUUCACAUUUUCUUUCCAGUCCACUUCAAGUUAAUUCCAUAAAUGUUCAUGGAGCGUCUUCUGUGUACUAGGCAUUGUGCUGAUUUUGUAGGGUUAUGAAUCACUUCUUGCCGUGAGAGAGCAUGUUAUCUGGUUCAGGGGUGUGUGUGGCGAGCGAUAAACGUCAUAAAUAGCUGCAGCCACAGUAGAUAGUGGGAAACCAAGGAAGGUUUCAGGACAAAGGCAUGGACAGGAGAAAGCAUAUUCUUUGGGGGAAAAUAAGGGAUCCAACUGGAUCUGUCUACAUCAACUGUGUGGGAUUCGGAGGCAAGGGGAGCCAACAUAAAUAUGAUGAUGCUCAUGCUGCUUACCGUGUGUGCCCCAAACUCAAGAUCCCUGAUGCCACGAAACUUGGUGCCCAUUAGUGGAGGAAUGGAUGUAAAGUGGGUGGACUGCAUACUCUGGAAUCCUGUGCAGCAGAUGAAAACAACAAAUGAGAUGAAUGGACAACAACAAGCUUAGCUCUUUAAAAUAUAGUGCUGGCUGAUUAAAA